ensembl:lincRNA
CUUAAAAAAAUAGAAGAGAAAGAGAACUCUCUGUGAAUGGUAGGAAGUAAUAUUUACUGUCUGUGAGGAUUCAGAGGGCACAAGUGACUCUAGGCUGCUUCUCUCGCCAGCAGGAAUAUUCCUGCAGCUUUUCUUCACAAAGUCCCUAAGAAACCUCCACUUCUGGCAUCUGUGGGCUCUGGACACCUCCCCGUUUUCAGGCAGCCAGGCUUGUGUCUUUGACGCUGUGCUACGAUUGGCUUCCUGGAACUCUGGCAACAACUCCGGAUCAUUCCUUGGGCAGCUCUGAGCACAGAGAGGUCAGAGGAAAGGGCGAGAGGCUGGCUGGCUGCCUGGCGGAGCCCACACCUGGGUGCCAGAUGUGGGAGGGACGCACGGGAGCUGCCGUGCCUUCACUCAAGGUUGGCUUUUCUACCUGCCGCCCUCCUUUCCUCGUUUCCACUGCGCUCUUUUCUGCCUGCAGCAGCACAGGCCGACCUGGGCUCUCCAUCACUGACUCAUGCCUGGACAUCUUUGUGCACACUCUGCAUGGAGAGUGUCACACCCACGGGAAGAACAGCAAGACGACAUGCACACCAUGAAACACCCACAACUGCUUGGCUUGGAGUGACAGCCCUUCUUCAUAUGACCGCCCGGCCUCAUCUGCUCUUCCCUUCUCCCAGAAUGACAGAAGGAUCUGUGCCUUCAACACACCCACCCGAUGCAGGGGUCCUGACGGAACUGCUGCUAAGAUACCCAGAGUCCACAGGCCACAGCCCCCCACAGCCACCAGCAGUGCCCCACCGUGAAAGGCAUGUCCUGAUGGUCCACUGGACUGUGUGAUCUGAAGGUUGACGCCUCCAGAAGGAGUUCCACAGGAGGGUGACACCUCCAUGAUGCUGUUCCCGUAGCAUCCUGUCCAUCCACAAGGGAAUGGUAAUGAAGCCGUAUGAAGGGUGUAGGACGUGGGGGAUCAGCUGUGCUCAUACAGGGUACCAGAUCGCAGGUACUCUGACCUUGGGCACAUUGACAGGGGCUUCUCCUAGUACAGCCCACCCUUCAAGCAAGAUAGCUAUGACUCCUUUCUAGGACAUUCUGACCACCUCUGCAAACCCUACACUCAUUUUGCUCAUGUUUCUGAGUCCCUGGUCUCUGCAAGGACUCAGGCCAGCCUCUCAAACACACAGCCAUCACAGCCUCCUCUUCCUGAGGGCCCUGGGCCUCCUCCUCUGUGUCUUCUUGUGGGCCUGCUGAGUUCUGGGUACUGAGUGGAUGACCAUUUUUUCCAUCACCCAGAAUUGCACUGCAAGAUUCUCCUCCUCCAUUUCCUGGUAUCUUAUUGGUGGGGCAGGGGACAAAGCCACAUACCAAAAAAAGUCGUAGAUCUUCAGGGCAAAGGGGAGGCUGGCUUGCUGGGGGCUGACACCUAUGUAGAGACUUGGGUCGGGCACUUCUAUAUUUGAUUAUUUUGAUGAAAAUGAAAGAGGCCUGGGUGUGGUAGAGCACGCCUCUAAUCCCAGCCCUUGGGAAGCUGAGGCAGGAAGAUUACAAGUUUGAGCCAGCCCAGGCUAUAUAGUCAUAAAAAACAAAAAAGAAAUAUGAAAGAGGACUUUUUCUCAGGAGGGCUACAACCUGUGGAGCAGGACAGACCUUCACUGCUGCUGGGCAACAUACUGGGCCCCAAGAUCCUGAGCUUACUUCAAUAUAGGACUGUGUGGGCCUCUUCCCAGGACCCCCAAUGGCUAAACAGUUCAGAGAAGGAGCCAUGGCACUGAGCUCACAGUCAGUCCUGAGGGAUGCUCUUCCUGCUUCCUGGAGGUCCCAAGAACCAGCUGGGUGACCCAGCCAGGGGAAAGGAUCCUGCUGCAGGGUGGCCUGUUCUGGGUGCUUUCCGAGCAUCCCAUAGCCACUUCAAAGCUGAUGGUCCAUGGGGGGGAAUCAGGGGCUCUGGAUAUAAACCAGGAGGCCUGGAGAGACUCUAGAGGGACCACUCCUGCCUACACCCAGUGAUGGGGCCCACAGGCUGGAAUAUCACUUUCUCAGACAGCACACAGACGUCCUGUUUCUGGGGCCUCCCAGAGCAGUUCCUAUCGUUGCUGCUCGUGUCUAGGAACCUGUGUCAUCUGAUGAGGACAACAGCAAGCCACAAGACACACAGACUCCUGUUGGGAGCCUGGAAACACCCAGGGGAGGCACCUGUGUGGACAUAGGAUUGAAGCCUGUCUUCACCUCGGCCCCUGCCACAGUGUACCCACAGGUCUUAAGUUUCUAGUUCUUCUCCUGGUAGGUGCAGCAUAACUGGCCUCUAACUGUGUAGGAAAGUCACGGGCUUUAAACAGUAAUUCCUUUAACAAUGCCUAUGUUUAUGAAUUGUUUCAAAGCAACUGAGCCACCCCAGGCCACCAGGAGUCCCCAAGCAGGAGGGUGGUGAAGAUGGGCCUAAGUCAUAAAGGAGAAGGAGGGGGUAUGGAAGAGGGACCCUCAGUUCUGUGAGCUCCCCCACUCCAUCACCUCUCACCCCUGCCUCAGUUUCUCUGAAUAUAAGUAGCUGGAAGGGCUCUGCUGAGAAUUAAUUAACAAAUGUCCAUUAAAUGUUCACAGGGCAAGAGCUCUGCAGCUGCUAAGUAGUAUUAAAUAAUUACAACCUCAGAUGACAAGCCCAUCUUGCCGCUGAUCUGAUGCAUGAAAAUGUUGUUAUAUGUCUUUGCACAAUGACUUUAUUUAACAGAGCUGAUCUUUGCAAUUUGGUUUAUUUUCUCUAUCCCUUCUCAUUUCAGACUCAGGGGUUAUUAGCAGAUAACUGCUCAUUUCUGCCAUAAAUCAAGAAAAUACUCAUUAGAAGGCGGAUGCUGUGAUUGCUAUGAGUUUGAGCUUGUAAAGGACUGGAAGAUGACAAAAUUUGGUGUUGAAGAAGUCUAACUUCAGAAAUGUUUUUGUUUUGUUGUUUUUGUUUUUGUUUUGGUACCAGGGAUCGAACUUGGGACCCUGCACUUGGGAGACAGGAGGUGAAACCACUGAGCUAAAUCUCUGGCCCAGAAAUGCUUUUUCGUUUUUGGGGAAAAUGCAUUGGCAUUUUUCUGAGCAACCUCUUAAAUGCAUUAAAAUCCAAAUAGUUUUUAGCAAAGCAGCAGGAUAAAGCUAUGGAAUUCCAAACUGGGUCCCCAAGACUGGGAAGAAGGGACAUAGGGGGAGCCGUGAUGGACUCCCGGGGAACAUCUGGGUGCCAGGCCAGCCCAGGGUGUUAGCACUAACCCAGGGGGCUGAAUCAAAGGGCAGCUGUGGUUGCUGCCAUGCUGGGGAGCCAUCCUGCCCACAGAGGCAGACACUGCCCAUGGAAAGGGCCAGAGACGAUCUUACAAGUGUAUCUGUAAACUCUGGGAGGGAAAUAAAAAAGUGCUGAUGGUUAAAACAUAUGGCCAAAGCUGGGGACAAAUGGAC